AUGGCCGACCCCCAUCGCCCCGUGGCCGCGACCGUGCCCCUGAACCCCGCUCCUGCCUGCCGCCGCCUAGGGUCGUGCCCUGCUCCCAUUACUCGCAAGCGCCAGCGCGCCUCCUCCCUGUUGCUGCCCGAUGCUUCUGCUAGUUGCUAUUCCUUCUGCCGCUGCCUGCUGCUGCUAUGCUCCGCUUGCUGUCGCCGCUCUGCUUGGUGCCGCUCUGCAUGGUGCGGUUUGCUGCUGCCGCGUGCUCUAACUGCUGCUGCCCGGGGCCGCGUAAUGGCUGCGCCCAGCCCGCGGGUGCAUGCGCGCAUGCGUCCCUGCUGA
rnacentral:rRNA from 1 species